UCCAUGGCUCAGGACGAACGCUGGCGGCGUGCUUAACACAUGCAAGUCGAACGGUGAACCAGAGCUUGCUCUGGGGAUCAGUGGCGAACGGGUGGGUAACACGUGGGCAACCUGCCCCAGACUCUGGGAUAACCCCGGGAAACCGGAGCUAAUAUCGGAUAUGACCACUUCGGACAUCCGAUGGUGGUGGAAAGUUUUUCGGUCUGGGAUGGGCCCGCGGCCUAUCAGCUAGUUGGUGGGGUAAUGGCCUACCAAGGCGACGACGGGUAGCCGGCCUGAGAGGGCGACCGGCCACACUGGAACUGAGACACGGUCCAGACUCCUACGGGAGGCAGCAGUGGGGAAUAUUGCACAAUGGGCGAAAGCCUGAUGCAGCGACGCCGCGUGAGGGACGACGGCCUUCGGGUUGUAAACCUCUUUCAGCAGGGACGAAGCGAAAGUGACUGUACCUGCAAAAGAAGCACCGGCUAACUACGUG
rnacentral:rRNA from 1 species